AUUUUGAAACUUAGGCCUGUUUCAAGCUGGGGUGAGGGGCUUGCUUGAAAUGGGGGUGCUUUGGUUCUUCAACUUCAUUGAAUAUUAAUUGUGUCCUGAAAGCCAUACCCCCUAAUACUAAUAACGUAAUUAUGUGAUUGAAUUUCCAACACUUGAGCUUUGGGAAGAAACACACAAACCAAGAAGUAAUACUGUACCCCAUAACUUGGAGAUGGUGGCUCAUACCUGUGAUCUCAACAAGCGAAUUGGAAGUUCAGUGUCAUCCUCAGGUGCACAUGAAGCUCAAGGGCAGCCUGGGUUGAGGAUCUUGUUUCACAGGAGCAAUAACAACAGCAGAAACAAAACUACUCUUGAAGAGUAGCUUGUUCAAAAGAGAGAAUGCACAAGUAACUUUGUGCUGGAUAAACUAAACAUUCCCUCGAGCUGGAUGAUCAAGGUUCAAAUCAAGAAUGGAUCAAGACGUGAGUCCUCAGCUGUUCCUUCCACCAUGCCUUUGUGUUACCAUCAUAGACUCUGACCUUCUGAAACCAUAAAGCCAAUUAAAUAUUGUUUUAUAAUUUGCCUUGGUCAUGGUGUUCUGUCACAACAGUAGGAAAGUAACUAAGACACCAGAUGAUAGAAUAUUAUUCAGUAAUAAAAAGAAAUAUCAAUCCAUGAAAAUCAGAAAAACUAUUACAAAGUGGGAAAAAAAGCCCACAGUUCAUGUAAAAAUUGCACAGUUUUAAUCAUGUGUCCUUCUAGAAAAGGGCAAACUAGAAGACAGUAAAAUAAUCUAUGACUGUCAGAAGUUACAAAGGGAGGGGUAAACAGGAACACGGAGUAUUGCUAGAGCAGGGAAAAAAAUUCUGCAUGAUAUUCUGUUGGUGGAUAAAUGAGAUUAUUUCUCUAAAAUAAUAGAACAAAAUAACAAAAAUGACUCCAACCUAAAAGCUCUGGACCUUUUUGAGUGAUAAAAACAUGUCAAUGUAGAUUUAGUUGCAAUGAUUAUAUCACUGUGGUACAGACUUUUGAUGAGAGGGAAGGUACCUUGUUCAAGAAGAGGAAGAGGAUAACAUAUAUUUCUGGAGCUACCAAUAAUUUUUGCUAUGACUGUAAAAUUGUAUAAAAAAGUCAACUAAGGCAUUUUAAAGUAAAAGAAAAAUAUGAUAGGCAAAGUAGACAGCCUGUGUAUAUAGGCCAUCUGUUUGAAGAUGUCUAGCAUCAUGAGAAGAAUAGAAAUCAAGUGGGAACAAUUAACCUGCAGUCAAUUUCUGUGGUUAUUAAACUAAUGACUCUUGAAACUGGUGUUGAGAACUCAUUUACUAUGCUUUCUUGAUUAUAUUCUAGUUAUAAUCUCAUCUCUGUUCCAGCUCUCUCAUUCUUUUAUUCACCUAUUUAACAAACUAUGGAUAUGCCAUAAUUAUGGCACUAUGGUGUAGAAGAUAAAAGCUGUUUCUAGAACUUAUAAUAGAGGUGGUAUGCAUACAUUUUGUGUGAUAGAAUGGAUUUAAAAAGUUAAAUAAGACUGGGGAAACACAUUUUAGUCAUUAACAUUGCUUCCUACCUGGACAGUGAGCCUGUAGGUCCCUCUGUAAAGUGUGAACUUUUUAACAAUAUUGAUUAUUCUAAUAAAUGAACACAGGAUG